GAGGCUCAGGAGUAACCUUAUUACUUUCUAUAAUUCCCUGAAAGGAAGUUGUAGCAAGAUGGGUGUCGGUCUCUUCUCCCAGGUAACAAGUGACAGGAUGAGAGGAAAUGUCCUCAAGGUGCACUAAUGAAGAUUU